AGAGCGGCGGACGGGUGAGUAACGCGUGGGUAACCUGCCCUGUACACACGGAUAACAUACCGAAAGGUAUGCUAAUACGAGAUAAUAUGCUUUUGUCGCAUGGUAGAAGUAUCAAAGCUCCGGCGGUACAGGAUGGACCCGCGUCUGAUUAGCUAGUUUGGUAAGGUAACGGCUUACCAAGGCGACGAUCAGUAGCCGACCUGAGAGGGUGAUCGGCCACAUUGGAACUGAGACACGGUCCAAACUCCUACGGGAGGCAGCAGUGGGGAAUAUUGCACAAUGGGCGAAAGCCUGAUGCAGCAACGCCGCGUGAGCGAUGAAGGCCUUCGGGUCGUAAAGCUCUGUCCUCAAGGAAGAUAAUGACGGUACUUGAGGAGGAAGCCCCGGCUAACUACGUGCCACGCAGCCGCGGUAAUACGUAGGGGGCUAGCGUUAUCCGGAAUUAC
rnacentral:rRNA from 1 species